GGACAUAACCCUGGAGAGACCACUUAAAUGUGGCAUCAAAGGAGCAACUUUUUAAAGGAAACUUUCAGAUAAAAGGACAGGGAGUAAAAU
rnacentral:ncRNA from 2 species